GAUGAAGAACGUAGCGAAAUGCGAUAAGUAAUGUGAAUUGCAGAAUUCAGUGAAUCAUCGAAUCUUUGAACGCACAUUGCGCCCGCCAGUAUUCUGGCGGGCAUGCCUGUUCGAGCGUCAUUUCAACCAUCAAGCCCCGGGCUUAUGUUGGGGACCUGCGGCUGCCGCAGGCCCUGAAAUGCAGUGGCGGGCUCGCUGUCACUCCGAGCGUAGUAGUUACAUCUCGCUCUGGGCGUGCUGCGGGUUCCGGCCGUUAAAAGCCUUAUUUACCCAAGGUUGACCUCGGAUCAGGUAGGAAGACCCGCUGAACUUAAGCAUAUCAAUAAGCGGAGGA
rnacentral:misc_RNA from 1 species